rnacentral:rRNA from 1 species
GUGGGGAAUAUUGCACAAUGGGCGAAAGCCUGAUGCAGCGACGCCGCGUGAGGGAUGACGGCCUUCGGGUUGUAAACCUCUUUCAGUAGGGAAGAAGCUUUUUGUGACGGUACCUGCAGAAGAAGCGCCGGCUAACUAUGUGCCAGCAGCCGCGGUAAUACAUAGGGCGCAAGCGUUAUCCGGAAUUAUUGGGCGUAAAGAGCUCGUAGGCGGUUUGUCACGUCUGCUGUGAAAGCCCGGGGCUUAACUCCGGGUGUGCAGUGGGUACGGGCUGACUAGAGUGAUGUAGGGGAGACUGGAAUUCCUGGUGUAGCGGUGAAAUGCGCAGAUAUCAGGAGGAAUACCGAUGGCGAAGGCAGGUCUCUGGGCAUUUACUGACGCUGAGGAGCGAAAGCAUGGGGAGCGA